GGAAGGCUGGCAGAGGGGUUUAUUGCACUUGUUUCGAAAACAAGUAAUUUAAUACACAAAAUUCGUGGGUUCGAACCCCACGCCUUCCA
rnacentral:tRNA from 4 species